UGCCCUAGUAACGGCGAGUGAAGCGGCAACAGCUCAAAUUUGAAAUCUGGCCCUAGGCCCGAGUUGUAAUUUGCAGAGGAUGCUUUUGGCAAAGCGCUUACCGAGUCCCCUGGAACGGGGCGCCACAGAGGGUGAGAGCCCCGUAUGGUAUGACGCCGAGCCUCUGUAAAGCUCCUUCGACGAGUCGAGUAGUUUGGGAAUGCUGCUCUAAAUGGGAGGUAAAUUUCUUCUAAAGCUAAAUACCGGCCAGAGACCGAUAGCGCACAAGUAGAGUGAUCGAAAGAUGAAAAGCACUUUGAAAAGAGGGUUAAAUAGCACGUGAAAUUGUUGAAAGGGAAGCGCUCGUGACCAGACUUGCGCCGGGCGGAUCAUCCAGCGUUCUCGCUGGUGCACUCCGCCCGGCUCAGGCCAGCAUCGGUUUUCGCCGGGGGACAAAAGCUUCGGGAACGUGGCUCCCUUCGGGGAGUGUUAUAGCCCGUUGCUUAAUACCCCGGCGGGGACCGAGGACCGCGCUUCGGCAAGGAUGCUGGCGUAAUGGUCAUCAGCGACCCGUCUUGAAACACGGACCGAGGAGUCAAGCAUUAGUGCGAGUGUUUGGGUGUAAAACCCGCACGCGUAAUGAAAGUGAACGUAGGUGAGAGCUUCGGCGCAUCAUCGACCGAUCCUGAUGUUUUCGGAUGGAUUUGAGUAGGAGCAUUAACGCUUGGACCCGAAAGAUGGUGAACUAUACUUGAAUAGGGUGAAGCCA
rnacentral:rRNA from 1 species